CGAACGCUGGCGGCGUGCUUAACACAUGCAAGUCGAACGGUGAAGCGCCUUCCUUUUUGGUGGGUGUGGAUGAGUGGCGAACGGGUGAGUAACACGUGAGUAACCUGCCCCCUUCUUCUGGAUAACCGCAUGAAAGUGUGGCUAAUACGGGAUAUUCUGGGUCUGUCGCAUGAUGGGUCUGGGAAAGAUAUUGUUUCGGUGGGGGAUGGGCUCGCGGCCUAUCAGCUUGUUGGUGGGGUGAUGGCCUACCAAGGCGGUGACGGGUAGCCGGCCUGAGAGGGUGGACGGUCACACUGGGACUGAGACACGGCCCAGACUCCUACGGGAGGCAGCAGUGGGGAAUAUUGCACAAUGGGCGCAAGCCUGAUGCAGCGACGCCGCGUGAGGGAUGGAGGCCUUCGGGUUGUGAACCUCUUUCGCCAGUGAAGCAGGCCUGCCUCGUUUGUGGGUGGGUUGACGGUAGCUGGAGAAGAAGCGCCGGCUAACUACGUG
rnacentral:rRNA from 1 species